GCCUACGGCCACCACCCUGGCAACGCCCGAUCUCGUCUGAUCUCGGAAGCUAAGCAGGUCGGGCUCCGCGUAGUACGUGGAUGGGAGCCUCAUGGGAAUAACCCGGGUGCUGUAGGCC
rnacentral:rRNA from 1 species